rnacentral:lncRNA from 1 species
CCAGGCAGACAAAGCUAGGAGCUGCUGGAUGUACCUCUAACCCCAUUAUCGUGGCGAUAGCUAUAUUGAUUCCAGAUGCUGCCAGCCAGGCUAGCUGAAAUAGAAACUGAGGGGGAUCCCGGAUGUCCUCCUCUGGACACUUGCAUGUGCAUAAUGGGCACAUGGUCCCAUACACUCAUGUUCAUGUAUGACAUACAUCAUACAUAAAGACUUUAUUAAAAAGUAGGGUAUAAUCCAUGUGAUUAAUUCAGUAUCCAUAGCUAGAUUAUAAAGGAGAAAAGAUGCUAUUAAAGGCCGAACAAGUGAUUUAAGUAUGUCAUUUUUUUUUUUCAGAGCUGCAUCUUUUGGGCUGGUGAAGUCUUACAUGUUAGAACAUUGUUGUAUACAUUGCUCUGAACCUCACUGUCCUUUCAUUGUCUUACCUGUUUGAAGGAAGAACCUAGCAGUAGGACUUGCUUUGAGUUUGGGUCUGAACAGUCACCCGAGUUGAGAUGAGUGUUUUUCUGAGACAUGGGCAUGCUUGCUUACUGUACACCAAGGUGUCCUUAGGAUGGUUCUCCAGGUGGCUUUUCAGAAGUCAGCACUACUUAUCAUUGAGCCCAGGCAUUCAGUACACAAAGUGUAAGUCCACAACCCUUUUGGGGACUGUCUUUAAAAAUAUGAUUUUAAAGGGAAGAAUUCCUAGGAGACUGUGUGUGAUGUUUCAGUAAAGUUUUAUGGACAAGUCAGGACCCUAAAACUUAAGCUCAACAAUAGAACGCUGACAGACAUGAAUUAGAAGAUAGAGUAAAGCUAUUCUUUUGUUCUUUCAUGAUCUAUAAACGAAUGGAGUGGGGCUUAUAAUUUCUCAUUCAAAUUCUUUGGAAGUAGUUUUUUUCCCCUUGUGUUUUAACUUUGAAUAAAUCACUAAAUAUUAGAACAAAGGCCCGAUAUUUCCAUCACACAACACAAAACAGACUGUGGUAUCAUAGAACUGUAUUAUAAACAUUUAUUUUUAAUUUUGUGAACACUGAUCCUGUCCCACCGAGCAGUCUUCCCAUAUGCCAAUGUAUGCUCCCGCAAAGCACUAGGGCAUGGUUAUAUGUGUAAUAGUGUACUUAAGUGUUUGAAGAAUAACAAAAACCAGUAGAGUUUCAGAAUAUGUUCUCUGACUUGAGGACCUCACUUGUUUAAUGGAAUUUUCAUACAUGUGGUUCUUUCUUGCCUGUAUGCCAACAUUCAAGAGAUUUUGUUUGGCAAAGUUUUGCAAGGUCUAUCAGUAUGCUCUCAGUGAUAGCACACCCAUUCUCUGUCCCUCUAACAGUGAGCACCAUCAACAUGUAUCAUGGAUUUUGCCCGUACUUGUUUAUACAUUGUCUCUUUCUUUACCUUUUUAAGUUGAUUACAAAGAUUAAUCAGUAGAUUACAAAGAUAGAAGUUUUUUUUUUCUCUUAUUUUUACUUAGAUGACUUUCUUUUUUCACGUAAUAAAAACUCAGUUUGUGUCAUUCAUCAGGCCCAAUGUAUACUUUUAAUGGAAAACUGGCACCUCUUGACUUCCUGGUUUUGUGCUUUUUGGGUGGAGCUGAUUUCUGAGUGUGAGGUUGUGACAGGAAAUAAUAUGAGGUACCUGCAAGACAACACUGGGAACACUUGCCAAAGGUUCUGCGUAACUAUAAUUUUUCUCGUCCCUAGGACCCUGCCUACAGAAAGGUUGCGUCUAGGUGUAUGUUGGUCUUGUAGUGAGCCUACUCACUCAGGUCCUUUAAAAAAGUCAUUUAUUUGCAUUUAGAUGUAUGUACUUAUAUGCACACAUGCUGCUCCUAUCCACAGAGGCUGCAUGGGGUUGGAUCCUCUGGAGCUGGGGUUGCAGGUGGUGGAGCUGCUCAGUGUGUGCAACACUGGGGCCCAAACGCUGCUCCUCUGGAAGAGCAGCAAGUGCUCUUAGCUUCAGCCAGUCAGUCUGUGUAUCAUUCUCUAAAGAAAGUUGGGCAACUCAGUGUUGAAAAAAAUAAUUUUGAGCAUUUCUAAUGAACUUACAACUUAGAAGCAAGCCAUGAUAAGCUGAACUCACCAUCUAACUACCUUCUUACAUUGCCACCUUCUAAUUUGAAGAGAUUCCUGUUGUUGAUCACUUUGUCCGUGGUGUCACUGUCCCUUUGCUGGUCAUACAGACUUCAGAGCCUGUCCUCUGUAAAUCUGUUCCUGCUGGUUCUAGCCUACAGAGACUUCUUCUCCCAAUGAGGUUUGAACAUCUGCCUUUCUACUCAUUUUCACUUUUAUUCUUUGUAAUAUUGCAUCCAUAUUAAUUUUCCUGUCCUCGUGAAUCAGAUCUAGCCCUUGGAGACCAAGGCUACUUAUUAUCAAUGAGUUUAACACAAUGGCAUAUACGGCUGUCACUGAAUGAGUCGCCAGGCUGUUCCCAUUUACCUUGCCCUGCAAGGAACCAGCUGAGCUUUGGUUUCUUCAGAUGCUCUUCCUCCUGGCGCUGUCUGUGUGUUUUCCUACUCCGGCCGCUUCUCUGUUACUGUUAUCUAACCUUUAAAGAAGAUUAGAAAUGGUUUUAGGAAAUUCUUGGGCUAUGAAAAUCAAAGGGUUCAUUUCAGCAUUUUUUAAUUUUAGGAUUUACUUUUAAACUGUCAUAGAAGUCUGCCUUCUUUGUAUGUCCGUCUAAUAUUUGUUCAUGUCCUGGGAUGUGCAUGUUGGAGGCGAUAGUUUGGAUGUGCACUUAACCAGAAUUGUACUUGAUACAGAACAGAAAGAAGAGAAACACUGUCAGGCUUGGAAACCUGGAUUUUCUUCCAAUUCUUGAUUACUGUGCUCUUCUACCAGCCUUCAUGGGACCCGCAGGCAGUGUAAAUAAUGACACGGUGUAAGCUGCCGCAGAGGAAGGCUUAUAGUUUUCUGCUGCCAGCUGGCAUUGUAUGUACACCUAUUAAGCCGUAUUCUGCUGAAGUGUAGAUGGAGAUGUAGAGCCUUAGUGUAACUUCGUUUUAGAAUGGAGAAAACUGAUUGGCCAGGCCACGUGUAGUCAAUCACUGAAGGAACAGAACGAGGCUGUCUCAUAAGGACUGUUUUGAUAGGUAAUGUGCAUGUCUGAAAAAGCAGACUGCAAAAAGUGGUGUUGUGGAAAAUAGUUGUUUCUCCACUACAUCCCAUUCUUUUUUGGACUUCUCUAGAGGUGGGCAGUUACCAGUGUUGUGGGCUUUUAAGACAUUUGGGCUGUUCUAUGUAUCUGCAAUCAUACAUUUACAUGUUACCCUAAUGCAAAUUGCAACAUAUCAUUCAUAGUUUUGGUAUUUUUUAAAAAGCCUCUUCAAUAAUAUAUCAGAAAAUUAUAGAGUCCAGGUAUUUUUAUGUUUUGAAAGUCCAUGAACUUCCUGCCUAUGUAUCAUUUAGGCAACUGGGGUUUGCUAAGCCAAAUGAACAGAUUUCUAAAAUAAUCCCUUAUUUCAAGUGUAUCAUAUGGAAUAAUCUGUUUAAUAUAGUAUACUAUUUACAUCUCUUCUAGAGAGAAACAAGCCAUGGACAUGGAUUGAUUUUAUAAUGAAUCAUGCUGAUGUUGAAAAUAUUUAGAGAAAUUUAUACAGCAGCGAUUACUGCUAGUUACCAAAAGUAGAAAUCAGAAUAUUUGCUUUUUUGUUAAC